CGAUUUUUUCCUUAGAAAUUAAUUUGGGGAAACAUAAAUAUUUUAAUUAUUAAUUUAUUUUUGUCCACUCACUCUAACGUUAUUAAAUGUUUUCCCCUGGGCCCUUCGUUUUAAAUUGCCCAGUCUGCAGAGUUCGGGUUGGAUCUAGUAGGAGACGAGGCAUAGUCACCCGCUUUUCGGCCAGUUUUCGCCAGUAGGUUACCUGUUCAACCUACUCGUGUUUUUCUUGCUUCCGCUUGUGUUUAGUAGCUCUGAAUACUUUGGAAUUUUGUAUAUUAUGUGAUAUUCAGAAGCGUUAAAUUAAGAGUGUAAUAUGAAAUUUUCGAGUUAGGGUUGUCCAUCUGCAAGGGAGAUUUUCUUAAUCUUUUCAGUAAAUUUUCCUUGGAGGUGGUCCCCGCACGACUUACUCUGGGUUUCAGGGUGAAAUUCGGGGUGGGUCGUGUCACAUUGCAUAGUCUACAUAAUCAAGGGGGCUAAUGUUGAUACCCAAAAAGUCAAUAUUCAUGCUCAAUAGAUAUUCUAAGCUCAAUAAAGAAAUACACAUGCAAAUCACAUUCGAAAUACAAAAGUUACAUAUUUAUUCGAAUAUUUAUGCCAUGCAUGUGGACCCAAGCCACAACCAUGCUCUUGGGGCUUACAAGUUUGGGUGUGGUGUGGAAGAUAACUGAAGUACAUGAGGCUUAUUCUCAGUUUUAGUUGUUGGUGAUUUUAGACUUGGGACCGAAAUUCAUGCCCAACAAUCUAAACCGCUUAAUGGGCUUGCAAAGAUGAGAUAUUCCAAACCCAUAUGCUUAACCUAAUCACCUACCUUAACCCUAAUGCAAUAGUCUUUCUACCCGAUAAAACAAACAGUAUUUUCUUUAAACCCCGCAAUAAGUCUAAUCCUCUUCUUCUACACUAAGCACAAGUCUCCAUCUGCCUUUUCUUUUACUCUGUUCUAAGCUCUAGCCUCCACAAGCUAUUCAAAUAGACACAUCUAUCAACACAUAACAGUAGUUUUUCCUUAAAAUAUGCUGCUCCAAUUCCAACAUCACCCAUAACAAUAGACAUCACCUCUUAAUCUUGUGGUCCUACAGUGUUUUGUACAUUUGAACUCAACAUGAUACAUCUCUUUAAUGGUCUAGCAGACUUGCCUUGUUCACAUGUGUAUUAGCCUCACCCCCUCCAGCCUAUAAAUUAAGGCCUUUAGGUGCUGCAAAGGGGAACACAACUCUCACGCAAUAGAACAUACCUACAACCACACUACUACAAAAACGUUAUCAGACAACACUCAUCAGACAACCUUUUAGGGUUCCCUACUUGUCUGAUGAAGAGAACUGUUAUAUACAACGCAAAGUUACAAAGUUUUGUUGUCUGAUGACACGAAAUUGUCAGGUUAUAUUUCAAGAGUUCAAAACACAACAAUGAUGCUAAUUUUUUGUUGUAUGAUUUAUGAAAAUUUUGGCGGAAGGAUUCCCCCCAUCACCAAAUUGAAAGUCAUGCAAGAUGCAAAAUGUUUGGACAAUAGACUUUUAUUUCUUUGUUGUAUGAUGUUGUUACAAUUUAUACUAGGCAAUACCUAGUGCAAGUUUAGAAAAUAUGUACAACAGUUUAAAACAUUCUGUUGUGUGACUGGAAAAUCUGGUGGCAUGCCAAAGUCGUUUUGGCUCCAAAGUAUGUUUGCCUCCAUUGAUUUGGUGUGCUAUGCCAAAAUAGUUUUGGCUCCAAAGUUUCCCUCCGAGUAUAUAUUCUGUUGUGUGAAAAAGUUGACAAAUUAUUAAUAACGUACCCACCAACCCUAAACGUUGUCUCACUCUCACUCUCUCGCAUUCAUAUCACUGUCUCUCUCUCUCUCUCUCUCUCGCAUUCAUUCACUCUAAACCCACCAAACAGAUCGACUCUCAACUCUCACUCUCAAACAGAUCGAGACUCUUGCCCUCUCACUCUCAACAGUAAGCCCUCUCUCUCUCAAUGUUGUCUCAACUCUCACUCUCUCGCCCUCUCUCUCAACUCUGUCACUCUCUCAGCUCUUUCACUCUUCUCUCAAAUGAUUCAAUCUCUCUUCUCUCUUUUAUAACUGUGCACGGCGAGGCGAGGCCGGUCACGGCGGCUAGGGCUCAGUUCGGUUCAAUGAUUCAAUAUUUUGAUUUUGCAUGCAGGAGGUUUGUUUCUAGUGGAGGUUUUUUGCUGGUGGAUUCAACUGGAGGUAUGUCAUCUCCUCUCUUCUCUUCUCUUCCCUUCUCUUCGCCGUCUCCUCCACUGACUCCACUUCUCCCUAGCCAUGUUCAAAUUCUGGUAAUUUUCGCUUCUCCUUUUCGGCUAGGGUUUUUCAGAAUCAUAGGCUCUCUAAUUCUAGCUUCGGAUUUUUCCUUCAUUUAACAAUCUCAUAGUAGAUGACUGUUUAAAUUACGCAACUGUUUCUGCGGAUUGGUGUAUUGAUUGAUUGAUUGAAUUGGUUUCUGAAACUAUGAUGAUCGUUAUGAACUCAAUCUGUGUCAAAUUGCGUUGCAGAAUGAUCUAACUAUUAAAGUUGUUUUGAUUUUGAUGAUGUAUUUUGGAAAGCGCUGGAGUUUGAUUCUUUUUGUGUGCAGGGGAUCACAGGAGCAGCAAGCUCAGCCACGUCCGGAAGAUGUUGCUCCGUCGCAGCAGUCUUGGUAUCCUCCCUCUGUUAACUCAUCGUCUCGGCCUUUAACACUGAGUAGAACCUCUUCUACUCCCAAUUUGAGUUCCAGGGGUACCUCUUCUCCAACAAUUGAAAAUUGCAUUCCAAUUGUUCGACGAAAUGCCUCUGAGGAACUAAAAUUUUCACUUAUAGCUGCAUUUCUUGAGGUGUGGUUUUUGUGACACGACCCACCCCAAAUUUCACCCUGAAACCCGGAGUAAGUCGUGCGGGGACCACCUCCAAAGAAAAUUUACUGAAAAGAUUGAGAAAAUCUCCCUUGCAGAUGGACAACCCUAACUCGAAAAUUCCAAAUUUCACUCUUAAUUCAACACUUCUAAACAUCACAUAAUUUACAAUAAUCCUAAAGUAUUCAGAGCUACUAAACACAAACGGAAGCAAGAAACAUGAGUAGGUUGAACAGGUAACCUACUGAUGAAAAUUGGCAGAAAUGCGGGUGACUAUGUCUCGCCUCCUACUAGAUCCAACCCGAACUCUGCAGACUGGGCAAUU
rnacentral:lncRNA from 1 species